ACAUAUUUUAGAGCUAGAAAUCAUUUCUAUAAAAUAAUAAAAAUUACUAUCAAAUCCAAAUUCAACUUACUAUAAAAAUAAGUAUCCUAAAAUAAAUUAAAUGUAACCCAUUUUUUCUUUAUUAUAAACUACACCUUGAUCUGAAUUAUUUUUUUAACAAAAUCUUAAAUAUUAACUUUCUAUAAAAAUAUUUAUAUAACAACGAUAUGUAAACUAAUAAAAAAAGUAAAUUUAAUCGUGGAUUAUCAUUUAUAAAACAGGUUCCUCUGAAAAGAUAAAAUACCGCCAGAAUUUUUAAUUUUAAAGAUUAUAUCUAAUACUAAUUUAAUGUUUUUAUUUACCUUUUUAAUAAUAGGGUAUCUAAUCCUAGUUUAUAAAUAAAUUUUCCCAACUUCAUUAACUAAUACAAAAUUAUUAAAAAAUUAAAAUUUCACCUUAUAAUUUCUUAGCAUAAUUUUAUUCUUAAAUAAAUUGAUAUUAAUAAAAUUAAAUUAUAUUAUUUGGAUAACCGCA
rnacentral:rRNA from 1 species